rnacentral:rRNA from 1 species
AAUAGAUACCCUGGGUAGUCCACGCCGUAAACGGUGGGCACUAGGUGUGGGAAACUAUCUACGUUUUCCGCGCCGCAGCUAACGCAUUAAGUGCCCCGCCUGGGGAGUACGGCCGCAAGGCUAAAACUCAAAGGGAAUUGACGGGGGCCCGCACAAGCGGCGGAGCAUGCGGCUUAAUUCGAUGCAACGCGAAGAACCUUACCUAGGCUUGACAUAUAGCGUUUACCGGCAGAGAUGUCGGGUCCUUCGGGGCGCUAUACAGGUGGUGCAUGGCUGUCGUCAGCUCGUGUCGUGAGAUGUUGGGUUAAGUCCCGCAACGAGCGCAACCCUCGUCCUAUGUUGCCAGCAUUCAGUUGGGGACUCUAACGAGACUGCCAGUGACAAACUGGAGGAAGGUGGGGAUGACGUCAAAUCAUCAUGCCCCUUAUGACCUGGGCUACACACGUGCUACAAUGGUUGGUACAAAGAGAAGCGAAGCGGUGACGUGGAGCAAACCUCAUAAAGCCAAUCUCAGUUCGGA